UAUUCUGUAACUUAGUUGAUUAAAGCACCGGGCUAGCAAUAACGGAGUCGUGGGUUUGAAUCCCACCAAAACAA
rfam:Aedes albopictus isolate Foshan contig44911, whole genome shotgun sequence.